rnacentral:rRNA from 1 species
AAAGAGGGGGACCCUAGGACCUCAUGCUCUUGGAGCGGCCCAGAUGUGAUUAGCUAGUUGGUGGGGUAAAGGCUUACCAAGGCUACGAUCAGUAGCUGGUCUGAGAGGAUGACCAGCCACACUGGAACUGAGACACGGUCCAGACUCCUACGGGAGGCAGCAGUGGGGAAUUUUGCACAAUGGGCGCAAGCCUGAUCCAGCCAUGCCGCGUGAAUGAAGAAGGCCUUCGGGUUGUAAAGUUCUUUCGUCAGGGAAGAAGCGAUGAAAGUUAAUAUCUGUGGUUAAUGACGGUACCUGAAGAAUAAGCACCGGCUAACUCCGUGCCAGCAGCCGCGGUAAUACGUAGGGUGCAAGCGUUAAUCGGAAUUACUGGGCGUAAAGCGCGCGCAGGCGGUUUUGUAAGUCAGUUGUGAAAUCCCCGGGCUCAACCUGGGAAUUGCGUUGGAGACUUUAGGGUUUGAUUCUGGCUGAGGGGGGUAGAAUUCCACGUGUAGCAGUGAAAUGCGUAGAGAUGUGGAGGAACACCGAUGGCGAAGGCAGCCCCC